rnacentral:rRNA from 1 species
UACGUAGGGGGCAAGCGUUGUCCGGAAUCAUUGGGCGUAAAGAGCGCGUAGGCGGCCCUGUAAGUCCGCUGUGAAAGUCAAGGGCUCAACCCUUGGAUGCCGGUGGAUACUGCAGGGCUAGAGUCCGGAAGAGGCGAGUGGAAUUCCUGGUGUAGCGGUGAAAUGCGCAGAUAUCAGGAGGAACACCGAUGGCGAAGGCAGCUCGCUGGGACGGUACUGACGCUGAGGCGCGAAGCGUGGGGAGCAAACAGG